rnacentral:rRNA from 1 species
GUAUCCUGGCUCAGAUUGAACGCUGGCGGCAGGCCUAACACAUGCAAGUCGAACGGUAACAGGAAGAAGCUUGCUUCUUUGCUGACGAGUGGCGGACGGGUGAGUAAUGUCUGGGAAACUGCCUGAUGGAGGGGGAUAACUACUGGAAACGGUAGCUAAUACCGCAUAACGUCGCAAGACCAAAGAGGGGGACCUUACGGGCCGUCUUGGCCAUCGGAUGUGCCCAGAUGGGAUUAGCUAGUAGGUGGGGUAACGG